GAGUGAAGCGGGAAGAGCUCAAAUUUGAAAUCUGGUGGCCUCAGGUCAUCCGAGUUGUAAUCUAUAGAAGUGUUUUCCGUGCUGGCUCAUGUACAAGUCCCUUGGAACAGGGCGUCAUAGAGGGUGAGAAUCCCGUCCUUGACAUGAACUACCAGUGCUCUGUGAUACAUUUUCAACGAGUCGAGUUGUUUGGGAAUGCAGCUCAAAAUGGGUGGUAAAUUCCAUCUAAAGCUAAAUAUUGGCGAGAGACCGAUAGCGAACAAGUACCGUGAGGGAAAGAUGAAAAGCACUUUGGAAAGAGAGUUAAACAGUAUGUGAAAUUGUUGAAAGGGAAACGAUUGAAGUCAGUCGUGCUCUUUGGAUUCAGCCGGUUCUGCCGGUGUACUUCCUUUGAGUGGGGUCAACAUCAGUUUUGAUCGCUGGAUAAAGGCUGGAGGAACGUAGUACCCUCGGGUAAACUUAUAGCCUCCUGUCACAUACAGUGGUUGGGACUGAGGAACGCAGCACGCCUUUAUGGCCGGGAUUCGUCCACGUACGUGCUUAGGAUGUUGACAUAAUGGCUUUAAACGACCCGUCUUG
rnacentral:rRNA from 1 species